AGAGUAAAACCAAAGUAAGUUUAUAAAUUUUCUGCAGCAAAUCCGAGGAACAGAAUCUAGUUGUUUUGGAUAGAUGAGGAGUGGAUAAGAAUACACGAAGAGAGGAAGAAACAUUGUUUUGUGACGAGUGACCCCCAGCAACCAGCUGUGUUGCUAAGCCAUGGCAUCCAUGAAUUCUUCAUCAGACUCUAGAGCAAUCAUUGAAUCUGGGGGAAGGCAAACCUCCAAAUCCACACUUCCCCCACCUUCACGUCCCGGGUAGGCUGACACUUUCCCACUGAAUUUGUGUGCAUACCCACUUCGAAGUGUCAAAGCUUUCCCCAUUCCAAAUUCACAUCCAUACUUGUUGAACCUCGGUGAACUCCCCAUCAUCACACUAUAGGGAUCAAACAUCUGACCUAUAUGAUAAAGAGAGGGCGAUUUAAUCCACGAGUCAAGACGCUCCCUGAUCUCCUGAUCCCCUUGAUUAACAACAGCCUCGUGGACUAUCCAUGCUGCCCAACCAAGAUUGUGCUCUAGCAGUUCACCUGCUGUGGUUGAAGCUCUAAGAGCGUUAAUACAGUUCCCAAAGUAGUUUGGAGACAGAGGUGGGUUCAAUCUCGAUCUAUUAUUGCAAGCCAGCCUGCAGCUUGUUAUUUGAUCAUGUGGUAGAUGACGGAUUCGGAUUAUGCACCUCCACAUGAAUGCAGACAGGGACUGGAAGGAGGAAAUCUUGUUGGUGUUGUAUUCUGCAUUUGCUUUUGCUUUGAGUUUUUUUAUGGAUUCUGAUGAGAAGUGGAAGAUCCUCUCUCUGAGCAAGGGUGCCUCAAAUGGGCAUAAGAACUGGUCAUGGUGGGUAAAUGGAAGACUGAUUAUCGGACCACAACCAUCAGGAAACCAGCGCUCGAGAACAGGUGGGCGUGAGAUCUGAACAUCACCUCCCUGUGCUUGAAAAAUUUCAGACAAGGUGUUCAAGAAAUGCCAGAAAGAAGCUCCAUCACCCAUAGCAUGGUUCAUAGAACACCCAAUAAAGACGCCAUCGACGAGUUCUGUGACUUGAAUUGUAACCAAAGACCGGACAUGCCCAUCAUGGUUAAGAGCCUUAUCGUGGUCGAAAAAAGACUGAACCACCAGUGGUACAUAAGUGGGUGAAAGAAUGUCGGAAACUGUCAUGUCCAGAGUUGCAUAGACAAAUCUGGCUCCUGGGCUAUUACUGCAAUCGACGUAGACCACAUAGGAAGCGGGGUCUUCAGUCUUUGAGGUUGCAAGGCGGCCAGAGAGGGGAUAGAAAUGGACAAGAGUGAGAGCGAUGGAAUGCUUGAGCUUUUCCAACAGAUCCAUGAUGUUGAAUUCUUGAUAUGGUGUUGGUUUGGCAAAAAGAAGGCCCUUUUGGAUAUAAUGAACAGAAAGCAUAAGAAGAUCCCAUGGUGUCAAAUACCAAGGAUGCCUUGUUUCUUGUAAGAUGCGUUGAGGCUUGAUUAAGCAUUCUGAGAUGUGCUGUACAGCUUUGGGAUUCAUUGCAGGAGGAGGCACUACCUGGUAGUCUUCUUUGCUUUUCUCUAUUCUGUCUUGCUCGCUGCUUUGGCUUUCGCAUCUGCACCGCUUAAAUAAGUUUAGAUCGGUGGUGACUGCAAAGUCAAGUUAUUAAGUGCUUCUUGGUUUCACCUACUUUUACCUGGUUCACACAAUCACAAACCAGAAUCAUUGCAAUCUUUUCGUAUUCAAUCUUACAAUUCUGACAUUUUCCUCAGGCAAUUUAUAUGGCAAUGAGCUACAAUCUUUUUGCCCUUGGAAAUUUCCCUGAUUUAUCGUACAAUUAUUCCAUAUGCUUUUCUGGGAUUGACUAGACCUCAUAAGUGAUUAUUCAAAAUCAGAUCAAAUUAGUUUCAUUUAAAUCGAUCUUUAAUAAAAUCGAGGAUCAACUCAAAACUGCUCAGUUUAUUACAGUUUAAUUUUAGAUUAAAACUAAAUAUUUCUUUUGAAAAAAAAAAAUCAAUCCCUAAGUUUAGUCAAAAUUAAAAUUAGAAUCGGAGGACUCUCUAGUUCAGACUCAAUCUCCUAAACCACCUAGUUGGACCACGACUGGGUCUUCCCCUCUCACAACCACCACAAUAAGACUUAUAAGUUCACCCGCCAUAAUUUAUUUUAGUUGCCUGAGCUAAUGGAUUUGAUAACUUGCAUUUUUUUUAAAAGAUAAAAAGACCUUUCUGGACAGGUUCCACGAAGCAACAGAUAAAAACUACAAAUGAUGUGAUAUUCAUAUAAUAUAUUGUCAGGAACAUUUAAAAAAAAUUCUAAAAAAUUGAAAAGAAAUGGUCAAAUUUGGUGAGCGAAUUAAAUUAAAACCUCAAAUACAAUUACUAAGAGGGGGUUGGUGGGUAGGUGGUGUGUGUGUGUUUAUACCGUAUAUCAACUACUUGUGAAGUUGGGGUGGAAACAGAAGAAAUAGAAUAAAUGAAGCUGAGGUAGAAAGGGAAAAAGAAAUUAAAAACAACAAUAAGAAAAAAAUAAUAUGAGAGAGAGAAGAAAAUAGGAAGACCUAGCAAUCACACACUUUUCCAACACAGAAAAGAGCAUCUAAAAAUGUUGUGAGAGUCAGAUUUAGAAAAUCGUAAAGAGCAUAUUAUUGCCAAAUUAGAAGGUUAACAAAAGGUCCUCAUCUCCUGCCCAAUCUGUGAAGGAAGUAGGUUCUUGAUGUCAAGCCAAGCGCUCCAAUGGCUCUAAUAGGGAGCACGCACGGUGCUCAAAUUCUGCGUCGGAUAUAAAAGAGGUCUUCAGCCGCAAUACUACACACCCUACUAGGUACGUCAUUUGGAGAGAGUAAUCAUCUUGUGAUAGAUUGUCUCAAAAUCCGAUUAAAAAAAAUAGAUAGAUAGAUAAAUAGA
rnacentral:misc_RNA from 1 species